rnacentral:ncRNA from 2 species
AAAUGCAAUAGAGGUUGCGGUAAUCACUAAAUAAUUGCGAGUGGGUAGCUCACAUUGACCAAUUGUAGCAGGAUUUUCGCCGAAGAACAUUAGCAGACUACACUGCUAGUCUUCUGGGCCUAGUCGACAGACGGCUAGGACUGUCUCAGUUUAUCUGAGGAGUGCUAUUAUGUUA